AUCCCUUCCGUAGGGUGAACCUGCGGAAGGAUCAUUAUCGAGUUUUUGAAACGGGUUGUCGCUGGUCCCAUUCUUAACAGAGUCGGGACAUGUGCACACCUGGCUUCAUUCCACUCUUCAACCCCUGUGCACUUGUUGUAGGUUUCAGGUCGGACGCGGGGCUUUCGACUUCAUCGUCGAGAGCUUCAAGGAAAGCCUGAGCCUAUGUUUUACUACACACACGCUUCAGUUAUAGAAUGUAAACAUCGCGUAUAACGCAUUUUAAAUACAACUUUCAGCAACGGAUCUCUUGGCUCUCGCAUCGAUGAAGAACGCAGCGAAAUGCGAUAAGUAAUGUGAAUUGCAGAAUUCAGUGAAUCAUCGAAUCUUUGAACGCACCUUGCGCUCCUUGGUAUUCCGAGGAGCAUGCCUGUUUGAGUGUCAUGGAAUUCUCAACCUUUGAAAGCUUUUAUUGGUUCUCAAAGGCUUGGACUUGGAGGUCGUGUCGGCUCUGCAAAGAAUAUCGACUCCUCUGAAACGUAUCAGUGCGAACCUUUACGGAUCGUCUUCGGUGUGAUAAACGUCUACGCCGUGGUCGUGAAGUAUGAUCGUGUCCGUGCUUCUAACCGUCUCCUUUUCUGUAAACGGAAAAACUGUGUUACUUACUAUAAGUAACAUAGGCUAUCUACAAAUUGUGACCCUUUCCAAA
rnacentral:rRNA from 1 species